rnacentral:rRNA from 1 species
GAUGAACGCUGGCGGCGUGCCUAAUACAUGCAAGUCGAGCGAACAGACGAGGAGUUUGCUCCUCUGACGUUAGCGGCGGACGGGUGAGUAACACGUGGAUAACCUACCUAUAAGACUGAGAUAACUUCGAGAAACCGGAGCUAAUACCGUAUAAUAUCUUGAACCGCAUUGUUGACUAGUAAAAUACGGUUUUGCUGUCUCUUAUAGAUGGAUCCGCGCCGUAUUAGCUAGUUGCUACGGUACAGGCUUACCAAGGCAACGAAGCGUAUCAGACCUGUCAGAGUGAUAGGCCACGUUGGAACUGAAACAGACACAAGACUACUAAGAGAGGGAGCAGUAGGCAAUCGUACGCAGUGGGCGAGAGCAUGGCGCAGCAACGCCGCGUGAGAGAUGAAGACCUUGGGAUAGUAAUAAUCUGUUAUUAGGAAAAAACAAAUGUGGAAGGGACAAUGCACGACUUGACGGUACCUGAUAAGAAAGCAACGGCUAACUACGUG